CCCUGUGAAGCAAAAUGUUAUAAAAAUUAGAAAUGAUUCUCCUAUGUGCAGUCACAGCCAGUAAUUCUGACCCUACAGUGAGUCAGAGAACCGUUUUGUCAACAUGAGCUUUUGGACCCAUUAAGUACCAGUCAUACGAAAACAAUAUUGCCAUUUCAAACACAGACAGCAAUUCUCAAAGUGAGGUCUUCAGACCAGCAGUAUCAGCAUCACCCAGGAACUUUUGUUAGAAAUGCAAAUUCUCGGGCCUCACUCCAGACCUAUUGAAUCAGAAACUCUAAAUUGGAUGGCAUUUAACACUACAGAUGAGAAGAAGAUCCAGAAUGAAUGACUUCCUGCUGUACUCUAAGGCCUCAAAUAGGUCAGCACCUAAUGAGUACAUUCUAGACAUACUGCAUCUUCUCAAGCACAAAGCAAAGGAAAAAGGAAUCACAGUCCCUGUUUCCAAAGAGUUCACAAUCCAGCACAGGAGACAAAACGUUACAAUGCAAUCAAUCCAUCAACAGCAGCAACAGAAAAUUUGCUAUAUACCACGAUAUAAAUGGUAGAAGUCAGUCCUUCCAAGCUUCCUGGUUCAUACCUUUAAUUCAUUUCAAGAUUCAGGAUGGAUUUGAAAGUAGAAAUAUCAGUUUUGAGGGAUAGUGGAAACAAGCAAAAAGUUGACGCUCUUUUUGAAUACACCAUUAUCCCAAUUUCUCCACAAACUGGCCUCUAUUACUAGUCUGUAUCAAAAGGAACUUGUGGUAAUUAGGCUGAAGGAAAAGCUAAGCGAGCUCAACAAGAGAGCAACAGCUCCCACACCACUCCUGUCCCCAACUUGAACCGCAACAGUAAGGAGGGAGGAGCAUGGCCCAUCAGUGUUGUGCUUAUGUCCCUGGAGGUCCAGGGACAUAAGCACCAUCACAGUCAUCAUGGUGUUACAAGACGUAACCAGACACUGGAAGCUUUUAAAUGAAAAAGUCUAAGAAACAACCAUAAACAUACAGCAUCUACAGCGGCAAACUAAAGCCUGUACAGUUGGACGAACUAUAAUUUAUCCAUCUCUUCAGUUAGAGGUAGAGUGACUACUCCUUUCUUCUUCAUUUUUCUACAAAUAAUUGAGUUUGCUGUGUAUAGGAAUAACCGUAGGGAGACUUAAUCUCUGCAACAAAACGAACAUAGCACUAAAACUGUCCAACAUCUGGAGGGUGCUCCGCAAAAGCCCGCUUCGACCCCCGUGCUUUCCCUUGAAAUGGGACAUGCGCCCCCGAACGUUGCAGAGGGAACAACUUCCCAGACUCCACUCUGGAGUACCCUUUUUAUCUGCUCUAGAGCCCUAACUGACUGCACAUGCCGCUCACCUGUAGUACACAGCCAGGUGGCCCUCCUCAAUCUUGUGGAUGGAGGCGUAGAGCAGGACAGCCACCAACCCCACCACUGCAGCCACCAGAACCCGGGCUUGAGUCAUAUUCAUUCUCGUUCCUCCUGGGAGCGGGAGAAAAGGACCCUCAGUCCCGUGAGUGACAGGUCCACCCCCUCCAGUUUCUACCCUCUCCCUCCGGAAACUUGGCGCUCUCUCGCAAGCUGAGCCGGGGAGUCCAGUGCCCCUGUCCCCUCAUUCUUCCCUUCUGACUGAGCCCGCUGACCCCUUGCCAACUCCUCCGCCCCCGGAGGCCAGUGGGCCGCCCCUGCUCGGUGAGCUUCCUGAAACCCCCUCUCCCAAGGGUCGCUCCCGGGUGGAAGGCACUAACUGAGAAGAAGCCCAGCCGCAGACUCGCGAGGAAAGCCGACCCCUCGGCCGCGCCUCACCGAUCAGUGACGCAUCGCCCCCGCCCGCACGUGCAGCCGACUCCCGCGCCGAGCCAACCGCCGCCAGCAGCCGGCCCCGCCCACUCGCCCAGCACUGCGGCUGCGCGGGGACGCGCACGGCGUAGCCCCGGCCCGCGGCUAGUGAGACGGGGAGCGCAUGGGACAAAAUUCUCCUAGCCGCGGGCCGCGCAGGCUCCUUUGGAGGCAAGUCGCUCUCUUUCUGUACACUGCUGGUUAACUGCUUCGGAAGAGGACAGCCCGCAGUCAGGAGUGAGCAGCGAAGCAGAGAAAAGGAGACGGCCUUUCGGACAAGGGACUGGUUGGUUUGUUCUUGUGCAGAGAACCCACUCGCUCACUCUCAAACGGUAGCUGUUCGGUUUAUUUGUCCUUUUGCAGUGUAUGCGGAGCCCCACUGUGUGGCACGCACUUGCUUCCGGCAGAGAUCCUGCACUUCAGGAGCAACUAAACUUGUUGCAAAUAAAGUGCUGUGAAAGUUCAGAAGAGGAAGAUAUUAG